UAAGGAAUAUUGGUCAAUGGACGCAAGUCUGAACCAGCCAUGCCGCGUGGAGGAUUAAGGCCCUCUGGGUUGUAAACUCCUUUUAUCUGGGAAGAAAUGUACUUUUUCUUGAGUACUUGACUGUACCAGAGGAAUAAGCACCGGCUAACUCCGUGCCAGCAGCCGCGGUAAUACGGAGGGUGCAAGCGUUAUCCGGAUUCACUGGGUUUAAAGGGUGCGUAGGUGGGCAGGUAAGUCAGUGGUGAAAUCUCCGGGCUUAACCCGGAAACUGCCGUUGAUACUAUUUGUCUUGAAUAUUGUGGAGGUAAGCGGAAUAUGUCAUGUAGCGGUGAAAUGCUUAGAUAUGACAUAGAACACCAAUUGCGAAGGCAGCUUACUACACAAUCAUUGACGCUGAGGCACGAAAGCGUGGGGAUCAAACA
rnacentral:rRNA from 1 species